UAUAUCAGGUCAAAAACACAGAAAAUAAAACAUUAGGUAAAACCAUUUUGCUUUUAUUUGGCUAAAUGACAAAAGCCAGAAUAACUCUGAACAAAUUAAUGAUACUCGGACAGGAAAACAAUAUACUGGACACCAGUGGAGGAAAACAUUCCCGCAGACGUCGGCACUGGUGAUAGGGUUAACUUUCAUGCCGAAGCCAGCAUUUCUUUCCAAGACUUUGUCUCCCCACCCCCCACACCCAGGUUCCGCAAUACAAGUAAUCCAACCAACCAAUUCUCUGUGUUCAAAACAGUCAAGUGCUUCCAAAAAAGGGUGGGAAAUCCUAUUCAAACCUAAAGAAACACAACCUGAGUCAUCCUCAGUGUUAAACCUCGCACUUUUGUUUUCUACCCAAUCUGAGUACUAAUAUAUAAAUUUGGCAGACAGAAAAUCUUUCUUCUUUUAAAGAAAAUUAACAUCUAAUAGCAUAAUCCAAAGAACAUGUUCUACUUAUUUGGAAAAAUAGAAGCCAGGGACUACUCUCUAUCCCAUGACAAUCUAUUCUAUGAGAGAAAACAAAAACAAUCAUCGUAUGACUUUGAAAAAUAUAACCUUCAAAAAUACUUAUAUUGGUAAGCUUAAAAAAAAUACCAUUAGUUAAAAACAUUAAGGGAGUUUUUCUUUUGUUUUUCCUAUAUGUAUUGGUAAGAGUGUGUGCUGACAGAAAAGAUAGCAGCUAUGGCUUUUAGGGAAUUAAAGAAAAGGAGCGAAGUAUAAUUGAUUUGGAAAGACUUUAAAUAUGGGAUCUGGAACAGGAUUAAAAAGGCAAUGAGCUCCAGAAAAUCGAAAGCUACCCACAAAUCAAGAGAAUACAGGCACAGAGCAACAAAAGCACUGUGAAGGGCUGUUGUAGAGGGAAUACCCAGAGGCUGCCUGACCAGCUGUGUGGUCACAAGUAAAAUUUAAAAAAUGUAACUCAGGAGCUGCCCAAGAAGUUAUCAGCAAUCAGAAAAGGUCAAAAAUUCUCUUGACCUCAUUCAUAUUUCUUCUCCUCUUCUAGAUUUUUAACUUCCUCACAUCCCCGACUUUCUUACCCAAACCUUAGCAAAAUAGUGGCCUUUGACUCUAGCUGUCAGAAGCAACUAUAGCAGUAAACACAUCCAUUCCUAUUCCUCUGAAGUUUCAAGUGCUACUGAGUCUAGUAUAUGCAGAGAGCAAUCUUUCUGCCCAGCCCAUCUCAAGGAAAACUGCUGAAAUGGCACCUCCUUAGCACUGACAGGACUUCCUUCUCCAUUCUCUGUGUGUCUUGCACACAGGCCCUGGGGCCAUCCAACUUUGAAGGCUCUCCCAUCUCUGCUUCAUUUGGCCUAUUCAGGCUGACAGCUCCACAACCUCAGACAUUAAUGUUAGAAGAUUUACAAGUCACUGGUAUGGUUGUGGUGUGCCAACCACAUUUAAUUAGGCACAAAUUAUCAAAUAAUGCAUCAUACCAACAGUUUCUUCCAUCCACCCAUUUUUAUCCAGCACCUAGGGUCACAGUUAUCUCAAAGCAGCUAACAUGCCACACCUUAAAAGUUUUUGCUUUCAGGCAAAAGUAUUUGAAGAUAUACUAGUGUUGGGAGACUGAAGCUGUAGUGUAGAGGCUCACCAAAAGGGGCAAGGGAGUUUUCUAAGAACUUGUGUACAUGCUGGCCCUAGCCAUCUCACAGAGCUUAUUGGCCUGGAGGUCAUAUCACAAGGGUCAGCAUGCCAAAAGCAGCCCAUUGACAGAGCAGAGGAGGAGGGCCCAAAGAUUUGAGACCCAGAUAACGUACGUACUUGAGAGGAGUGACUACGGGGAGGAAAACCACACUUUGGGCAUCUCCCUUUCCAAAUACACCGGAUAAGAUGUGCACUUUAAGGGAACAAGUGUGGGCUUCAGUGCUGACUUCAUUGCCUUUCUAUACCAGGGAGAGUAAGACUGAAAUAGACAGAAUUCCCAAAGAAGGCAGAAAAGUUAUGAAGCUGAGUAAUGUAGGCCAAGAUUAAUUUCACCUUUAAAAAGAAAAGGAUUCCAAGCCGAAGCUCAUGUAAACCAGAUUUGAUAGUAAAAAUAGCACUUCAUGAGAAGAGUUAGAAAUGAGUUUUCAUAAGCCAUCAGGACAAGAGGUUCCCCCCCUUUGUCCCUCUACUCUGCCGUGCUCUGCCUCUGGGUGAUCUGAGUUUUCAGAACCUAGGUAGUGCUAGUGUGCAGGCAGGCAGGUUUUACCAGAAAGGGAGAUGUCUGAGAUGCUCACAGCCCUAGCAGAGGGGCAAGAAAAGAUAAAAUGUGGUUUUCUUAGCUGAAAACACUAAAACUCCACCCCCACAAGGGGUAUUUAUGAGUGACAGGGUGGGGCCUGGACAUAAGCAGUCUUCCCCUGAACACAGCUACAAGAUUCCUGAUGGAUGAUGGUCUGAGUCACACGGCUGUAGGUUGCUGGCGGUGUAAGAUGAGCUCAAGCUCAAUAGCAAGUGUGAAGCUUCAGCAUUCUCUGAGGUGAGAUUUAAGGGGUGAUCCCCCUGCCAACCACCAGGCAGGCACAUGUGGGGGGGAGAGAGAACCUACUGUAUUCUUGUAAUGUGAGCCCUUGCUUUGUGCCUCGCUGGAGGGGCCGUGGAAGAAAGAAAGUCCCUGCCAGCUGCCACUCUCAGAGGAAAGCAAACACCGUGUGGAGCACUGGUUCCAGUCAAGAACAUUCUUAAGAGGGCAGAGUUCAAGAUAGGAAGGUGGGUAUUUCCUUAUGCGGUCGUGUCCAUGGUCUAUGCAAAUCUCUACUCAAUAUGGCUGUGAGCAGCAUGGAUUAACAAAUCAUGUUCAGAUUACAGACAUUUACAAAGUAUCCUUUGUAAAAAGCUAGGUAGUAAGCAUAGAAAUAGGAGUAGCAGGGCCAGGGACUUACUCUGGGGGAAAAUGAAUCUAAACUGACUGUGUAGGACUGAGUAUUGUCCCACCCCCUCCACAAUCACAGUAACCCUGAAAGUGUUCCUUCCUUUAGCGGUAGAUUACAGGGAAGAGACUGACAAGAGCUCCCAAGUAACGGGCCACAGAGUCUUCUGAGAUGAAUACAGCGGAAAAGCUGCAGCUGAUGCCAUGUGCUCUGGUUCCAACCCCAUCAGUGUCUUCAUGGACCCCAGUGGGUCCAACAAGAAACUCCUCAGGGAGUAAGUUUGGCUUAGACCUCCUUCUCCCACAGCCACAUUGACACAUGUGCCAGCAGUACCGUUAGGGAUUUGUAACUAUUACCCAGCUUUUAGCAUUUUUUUCAAGGAAAUAAAAAUUAUAUUCCACCCCCCACCCCGAAAUCACCCAUCAGCAUGGCUUAUUGCUUGAACUAUUUGGCAAGCCAGUUUGCCUCAGAACAGAAGGCAAACACUUAUAGUGUUAUUGGGAAGAAAAGGCCUCUGGGUAUUACACCACCUCUUUCUGCCCACUCCUCGGGGGCAAAAAAAAAAAAAAAAAAAAAAAA